GUGUCUGGUGGGUAGUUUGACUGGGGCGGUCUCCUCCUAAAGAGUAACGGAGGAGCACGAAGGUUGGCUAAUCCUGGUCGGACAUCAGGAGGUUAGUGCAAUGGCAUAAGCCAGCUUGACUGCGAGCGUGACGGCGCGAGCAGGUGCGAAAGCAGGUCAUAGUGAUCCGGUGGUUCUGAAUGGAAGGGCCAUCGCUCAACGGAUAAAAGGUACUCCGGGGAUAACAGGCUGAUACCGCCCAAGAGUUCAUAUCGACGGCGGUGUUUGGCACCUCGAUGUCGGCUCAUCACAUCCUGGGGCUGAAGUAGGUCCCAAGGGUAUGGCUGUUCGCCAUUUAAAGUGGUACGCGAGCUGGGUUUAGAACGUCGUGAGACAGUUCGGUCCCUAUCUGCCGUGGGCGCUGGAGAACUGAGGGGGGCUGCUCCUAGUACGAGAGGACCGGAGUGGACGCAUCACUGGUGUUCGGGUUGUCAUGCCAAUGGCACUGCCCGGUAGCUAAAUGCGGAAGAGAUAAGUGCUGAAAGCAUCUAAGCACGAAACUUGCCCCGAGAUGAGUUCUCCCUGAGACUACGAGUCUCCUGAAGGAACGUUGAAGACGACGACGUUGAUAGGCCGGGUGUGUAAGCGCAGCGAUGCGUUGAGCUAACCGGUACUAAUGAACCGUGAGGCUUAACCUUAC
rnacentral:rRNA from 1 species